rnacentral:rRNA from 1 species
UAAUACGUAGGGUGCGAGCGUUAAUCGGAAUUACUGGGCGUAAAGUGUGCGCAGGCGGCUCUGCAAGUCGAGUGUGAAAUCCCCGAGCUUAACCUGGGAAUUGCGCUCGAAACUACGGAGCUGGAGUGUGGCAGAGGAAGGUGGAAUUCCACGUGUAGCGGUGAAAUGCGUAGAUAUGUGGAGG